GGGGGCUGCCUUAACCACCCAUCAACAAUCGUUGUUGGGGAUUACCUGCCUUGGUCAAACAACGGCAGAUUUUUCCACCUUGCCGUCUCAGGGAUUCAUACCAGCGACCUUUCGGUUACUGGCCCAAUGCUCUUAACCGCUAGGCUACCUGCCGCCCGGAAUUGCUCCGUCCACGACCACAAGGCCCUCCAGCUGGUGGUGAAGAUGGCCCAGUACAUCAGUGGAACCGUGCUUCCACCCAUCCAGGAAGGUGCCUGAGGAAGGGAUGCAGCUUCAUCAUUGACCCCACACACCGUCGGGCAGACGGUAUCGGAGCAUGAGGUGUGAUACCAACAGGCUCAGAGACAGUUUCUAUCUACAAGCCAUCAGACUGUAUCAGAGCAUGAGGUCCGAUACCAACAGGCUCAGAGACAGUUUCUAUCUACAAGCCAUCAGACGGUAUCAGAGCAUGAGGUCCGAUACCAACAGGCUCAGAGACCGUUUCUAUCUCCAAGCCCAUCAGACUGUAUCAGAGCAUGAGGUCCGAUACCAACAGGCUCAGAGACCGUUUCUAUCUCCAA
ensembl:lncRNA